AAGUCGUAACAAGGUUUCCGUAGGUGAACCUGCGGAAGGAUCAUUAUUGAAUAAACCUGGCAUUUGGUUCUGCAGCUGGCUCUUCUUGGGCAUGUGCUCGCCAUUGUCAUCUUUAUCUCUCCACCUUGUGCACCUCUUGUAGACCUGGACGGAUAAAACUUUUUACUUUCUUCUCAGAGGGCAACCUCUGGUCCUGAGGAUGUGCAUCUCCUUUGUUGGGGUGCUCUCCUUGUUUAAAAGAAAAAAAAGUUGUCCAGGCCUAUGUCUACACACACACCCAUUGAAUGUAACAGAAUGUAUCUAUGGGCCUUUGUGCCUAUAAAAACUUAUACAACUUUCAGCAACGGAUCUCUUGGCUCUC
rnacentral:misc_RNA from 1 species